CUAAAUCACUCAUGUAUCUUACCAUGCAAUGUAUAAAGUGUAAAAUAUUGUAAUAAAUCAUUAUAUAUAAAUGAUUAUGGUGUGUUUAAUCUUUUCUUCAUUAAUUACUACAUAUUUUCUACACUCACAGUGUUUACCAGCUCGCUAUAUAAUCAACUUAAAUCAGUUAAAUCCAUCAUGUAAUGCAUUUCCUUCUAAUUUUUUUGAUAAACUAAUAGAUAAUUGACUAAAUAAACAUUCUCCAAAGUUUCAAUAAAACUUUUCAAGUUUUUCUUACAAUUUCCGUGGUUUUUAUUCAAUUUUUAUCAAUAUCAAUAAUAUCCCGAUAUUUCCAUCGAAAUUUCCAUAUUUUUGGACUACCGAUAUUUCCGAUAUCAUCGAUAUUUUAUACCAU
rnacentral:lncRNA from 1 species